CCCGCCACUCUACGACGACGACCGCUACACCACGCCACAAUCGUCUGUCGGUACUAUCGCCAACCCUGACGACGACCUCCUCCAGGAGCUCGACGGGUUGGACGAGGACGCCGCGAGCGCCAACGCGGCUGACGACGAUUCAGGCGCUGUCCACGUCCAUGCGCCGCUCAACCCCGACGCGACGCUCGACUCGAACGUCGACACCAGUGGAUCACCGCGCUACCCGUGCCUCCCCGAGGGCGCGACGUUGUUCCGUCGGAACCCGGAUAAGAAGAUCCACGAUGGGCUCAUCGGCGGCAUCAGCCAGCACAUCUGGAGCAUCGUGGACGAGGUCGAACACACGACCUCAGGGCUGGUCCAGACGCUCAUCGCCGUCGACAGGCACUUCGACCUCAUCAUCAAGGCGAGGAUCAAGCACUUGGAUCCGUUACCUCCGCUCGUCCCCAACACCGACGCAGAGGAGGAGGAGGUUCUCACGACCACGUCCACCAGGUGUUCGAGAAUGGGCAUCAACCGUGGCGCAUACUCCGUCCCCAACCUCCUCGUGGUCUGCAUCGUGGGCGCACCCAAAUUCAACGAAUACAGCACCAACCGCGUCCUGCACCGCACGCGGCUACAGCGCCCUCCGCUCUAGCAACUGAUCGUCGACCCUGUCAGCGCCGUCCACGGCGGCGACGACUAUGAGCUGUCCCACAGCGAGGCAGGCAGUGUUCUCGCGACCGCCGCGCUUCCCAACCCGCGCGAGAAGAUCCGUUGUCAGCUCGUCAACAGGACGAGGCUGGCCCGCGACGUCCGCCUCAUCUUCUCCCUGACAUCGUCGAACCAGGUGCUCAGCCUUCACAUGAGCACACAUGACUUUGACUGCGCCAGCGUCGACAGGAAGUCCUGCUUGCGGGCGUACACGCUGACGAGCAUGGAGGACGAGGUUGGCCACUUCGGCCUCGACGCCAAGGAGUACAUCCUGGACGAGCACUCCAAGUUCCUCAAUGGCGAGCUCAUGAACCAACUCCUGGACCUGCUCCCCCUCGAUCCUUACAUCGAAGCUGCUCUAUCCCCGAUUUCUUCUAUCGUACAGUUGGUGGUGUUGGCAGAGGAGGAGGUUAUCACCAACUCGCCCAACAGGUGUUUGAUGAUUUGCUUCAACCUCUUACAAAGAUGUUUCAGCUGGGAUGCAGCACCACAUCGUCAGCUUUGGCCACCACCUCAUAUUCAUGUUGAGUUUUGGUGUGGCAGUGCUGCUCUACGUUCAAUUCCAUGGCCACCACCCACUUCCUUGGAUAGUUUGUAUACUAAAGAAUUCUAUUGUAGAGUGCAAUUUCCUGGAUUUGGUAGAACCUUUGUGUUCAAUGCAGAGAUUCUAAAAAGAGUUGGACGUACAUCUGAAGCCAAAGAUUCAUCUCGCGUGGCUCUGAAAUCAUCAUGGGGGACACUUGGCUGCAGUCAUGAAGAGGCUGCUGAAUUAGCUUCUUUGGUGGAUGGAUAUCAGUUAAUGCGUGCAGCGUCAGCAUCUGAUCGGGUGUCUUCGCUGAAGAAUUAUCACCACACACUGGGGUUAUGCGACCAUUGGGCUGAGAAGAGGUUUAAUGGUCACAAAUGUGUGCAGUUCCACGCCAUCGAAGAGGUCUGUGAAUUUUUGUGUAUGGAGGGUAGUCCAGAAUAGAAACCAGACUCAAAUGACCAGUUGAUAUUGACGCUAUAUUGUACAGCGUGGUCAGGAGCGCAUGCGGCUGCUACAUUUUGUCUUCGAGAUUCGAUUCAGCAGCAAGACGUAUUGGUACUGGGUGAUCAGGCAUCGUUUAUCAAGGAAAUCACGGCAAUCGUUUGUCGAGCUGGUUCAGG